ACAAUCAAGAGGAAGAGGUCGGAAGGCUCAAAGUGGACCAGAAGUACCCAGGCGUAGGGGAAGGAAACAGGCGCCAAUAUCACCUGGUGUUGGUGGAGUAUCUGGUCUUGAUCCAAAACAAAAUGAAGCAUCACAGAACAUAUCUGUGAAUCCACUAGAAAAUCAAGCCAUUGGCAUGAGUGGAACUGUUUCUAGUACUUCCGCAGUCCAACAACCUGAGUCUUUUUCUGGUUCUGCUCCUUUACAAGGUGUGAAUGGGGCUGAUCAUCAAGUUGGUGAUGUUGUAGCUUUGAGUUCUCAGCCAGCCCUUUCUUCUCCAUCUGUUGCUCCUUUGUCUCAGUCUUCUCCUUCCCCUUCUGUACCCGAGCAAAUGAAAGGGCAAGACCGGAAGGUUCAAGGUGGUGUAGGGGCACCGCGACGUAGGGGAAAGAAACAGGCGCCAAUAUCACCUGCUGUUACUGAUGUGUUAGUUGGUCAAGAUUUGAAACCCAAUCUGCAACCACAGGAUAAACCUGGGGAUUCAUCUGGAAGCAAAGACAUUGCCAUGCAAAGUAAGCAAGAGGCUGAUGGUUUAGCUGGUCAGGAUCUGAACUUAACC
rnacentral:lncRNA from 1 species